AGUAUUCAGGAGUGCAGUACGCUGCAGCUCGGAAAAUCCAGGCGCUGUGGAGAGGAUUCAUCACUCGGUUUAAGAUGAAAAUCUUACAUUUGGCAGCUCAAAAGAUUCAGGCUUUUAUCCGAGGUUUCCUGGCGAGGAGGCGCGUUGGCAAGAUCUUGAAGGAAAAGGCGGAAAUUCUUUACCAAAAGCAGCUCAACG